UACGAAGGGGGCUAGCGUUGCUCGGAAUUACUGGGCGUAAAGCGUGCGCAGGCGGUUUUGUAAGUCUGUCGUGAAAUCCCCGGGCUCAACCUGGGAAUUGCGAUGGAGACUGCAAGGCUAGAAUCUGGCAGAGGGGGGUAGAAUUCCACGUGUGAGCAGUGAAAUGCGUAGAGAUGUGGAGGACACCGAUGGCGAAGGCAGCCCCCUGGGUCAAGAUUGACGCUCAUGGCACGAAAGCGUGGGGAGCAAACAGG
rnacentral:rRNA from 1 species